UACGUAGGGAGCGAGCGUUGUCCGGAUUCAUUGGGCGUAAAGAGCUCGUAGGCGGUUCAGUAAGUCGGGUGUGAAAUCUCCGUGCUCAACACGGAGCGGCCACCUGAUACUGCUGUGACUCGAGUCCGGUAGGGGAGUGUGGAAUUCCCGGUGUAGCGGUGAAAUGCGCAGAUAUCGGGAGGAACACCAGUAGCGAAGGCGGCUCUCUGGGACGGUACUGACGCUGAGACGCGAAAGCGUGGGGAGCGAACAGG
rnacentral:rRNA from 1 species